GCGGAUAUACCUCAGUGGUAGAGGGCUUGCCCAGCAUGCGCAAAGCCCGAGGUUCAAUCCCUGUUACUGGG
rnacentral:tRNA from 1 species